AUUGAACGCUGGCGGCAGGCCUAACACAUGCAAGUCGAACGAGUGGCGGACGGGUGAGUAAUGUAUGGGAAACUACCCGAUAGAGGGGGAUAACUACUGGAAACGGUAGCUACUACCGCCUAUCAUCGGAGGUGCCCAUAUGUGAUUAGCUAGGAGGUGGGGUAAAGGCUCACCCAGGCGACGAUCCCUAGCUGGUCUGAGAGGAUGACCAGCCACACUGGAACUGAGACACGGUCCAGACUCCUACGGGAGGCAGCAGUGGGGAAUAUUGGACAAUGGGCGCAAGCCUGAUGCAGCCAUGCCGCGUGUAUGAAGAAGGCCUUCGGGUUGUAAAGUACUUUCAGCGAGGAGGCGGUACUCGAAGAAGAAGCAUCGGCUAACUCCGUGCCAGCAGCCGCGGUAAUUC
rnacentral:rRNA from 1 species